UACGAAGGGGGCUAGCGUUGCUCGGAAUCACUGGGCGUAAAGGGUGCGUAGGCGGGUCUUUAAGUCAGGGGUGAAAUCCUGGAGCUCAACUCCAGAACUGCCUUUGAUACUGAAGAUCUUGAGUUCGGGAGAGGUGAGUGGAACUGCGAGUGUAGAGGUGAAAUUCGUAGAUAUUCGCAAGAACACCAGUGGCGAAGGCGGCUUACUGGCCCGAUACUGACGCUGAGGAGCGAAAGCGUGGGGAGCGAACAGG
rnacentral:rRNA from 1 species